rnacentral:rRNA from 1 species
AGUGAACGCUGGCGGUAGGCCUAACACAUGCAAGUCGAACGGCAGCUCAGUAAGAGCUUGCUCUUACGGGUGGCGAGUGGCGGACGGGUGAGGAAUACAUCGGAAUCUACUUUUUCGUGGGGGCUAACGUAGGGAAACUUACGCUAAUACCGCAUACGACCUACGGGUGAAAGCAGCGGAUCUUCGGACCUUGCGCGAUUGAAUGAGCCGAUGUCGGAUUAGCUAGUUGGCGGGGUAAAGGCCCACCAAGGCGACGAUCCGUAGCUGGUCUGAGAGGAUGAGCAGCCACACUGGAACUGAGACACGGUCCAGACUCCUACGGGAGGCAGCAGUGGGGAAUAUUGGACAAAGGGCGCAAGCCUGAUCCAGCCAUACCGCGUGGGUGAAGAAGGCCUUCGGGUUGUAAAGCCCUUUUGUUGGGAAAGAAAAGCAGCAGGUUAAUACCCCGCUGUUCUGACGGUACCCAAAGAAUAAGCACCGGCUAACUUCGUG